rnacentral:rRNA from 1 species
CACGUAGGGGGCGAGCGUUGUCCGGAUUUAUUGGGCGUAAAGAGCUCGUAGGCGGCUCGGUAAGUCGGGUGUGAAAUUUCGAGGCUUAACCUCGAAACGCCACCCGAUACUGCUGUGGCUAGAGUCCGGUAGGGGAGCGUGGAAUUCCUGGUGUAGCGGUGAAAUGCGCAGAUAUCGGGAGGAACACCGGUGGCGAAGGCGGUUCUCUGGGCCUUACCUGACGCUGAGGAGCGAAAGCGUGGGGAGCGAACAGG